rnacentral:rRNA from 1 species
CUGGUUGAUCCUGCCAGUAGUGAUACGCUGUCAUUAAGGACUAAGCCAUGCAUGUGUAAGUAUAAGAAGUACUCGAGACUGCGAAUGGCUCAUUAUAUCAGUUAUAGUAUAUUUGAUAGUCCCUUACUACUUGGAUAACCGUAGUAAUUCUAGAGCUAAUACAUGCGUCAAGAUCCGACUUCGGGAGGAUUGUAUUUAUUAGGUUACAAAACCAACCCUCUCUCGGGAGGUAGUUUGGGUGAGUCAUGAUAAGCAUGCGGAUCGCAGGGCUUUACGCCGGCGACGGAUCAUGUAAGUUCCU